AGAGAGAGAGAGAAUCUAACCUGAUUUUUGUAGAUGGUGUAACCUUCUUUCUCAUGCUGUAGAGCCGACCGGAAUUCAGCUUUGCUCUCAUACACUCGGGCUACCAAGUGGUGGCUGUGAAGUGGGUGGAAAGGAAGGAGUCAGAGCAUUUCUACCCACAGCUGAAGGAGGCAAACAUGAACAAGAGCACCAUGGGGCUGUGGUGGCAGAGUUCAGUGGGGCCAAAGGACAUGCUGUUAACAUCUCCCGAGUGUCUCUGAUCUGCGGUGUUACAGAUAAUUCUCUGUAUCCCUCCCUUAGGGAGAGACAAGCAGCGGCGAUCCAGCUCCAAUAUUCAGAAAAAAUACAUGGCGCAGUUUCCCCUGAGCAUGGACCGCCUCCGAUGGUGAAAAUGGGGCUCUCCAUCAGAGAGUGGAGCCACCUUUGCCUGUCACCCCACGUGGUAGGAGCUUGAGUCUAACAGCUGAGCGGAGAAACCCCACAGAUGCUCCGACACUUGGAGAUGGGAACCGCACCCCUUGAAAUUCUGGCUGCUUUGGAGUCGAUGUUCCUCUCUACCAGCGGGGCUUUCCACCCUCGAGAGCUAGGCUAAGCGGCGCCUACUGAAUUUCUUCCUGCCGUCCGCUUGGUUGCAAAGGACCAGGACACCCGCAUCAGAGGGCAAUCCCAAAAGCACCUCGAGCAGGCCGAGUAAGUGAAGCAGGACGGCUCCGAGAAGAACGUUAGAAGCACUUCCUCAAAACGGAUUCAGCGCAGGAUCCAGGAGCCUGCACGAGCCAACCUGGGCAGCGAGCGAGGGUAUUCCUUUCCAUCUACCCCAUCACCUGCCACCAGCAUCUAAAGGCAGCCAGACAAGACAAGACUAGCCUAUCCAGACUGGAGCACACCGACUAAGAGGGUCUGAACCAUGCCUUUUCCAUGCAAUUUGUUCUACUCUGCAACGGGCUGGCACGCGGGUCCUUAAACGGCCUCGGCUUUGUUUGCCGGGAGUGGCAGAGACCUGGCCAUGAAGAGGUGGUAUGUAAGAUGGCUCAUGAAGGGACCGUAAUGAUGGGCACUCCAGCUCCUCGGGGAAGCAGGACCGCACCUCUGCGGUCCAGCAAUUCUCGUGCUGCAUCAGGACCGAUGAGAUGGCGACCUCAGGAGGUCUGGGCCGAGUUCACUUGGUAACCCUCAGCCAUUCAUUCUUUCCUGGACUAACUUAUUUCAUGGGGUCAGUGCAAGGAUAACAUGGAGGGGGAAGAAGAGCCCAGCAUGCAGCCUUGAGAAAGGAUAGAAAGUACCAUACUCAUUAUUUUGAUCAUGAGGACUAGAAACCCCAUAUUAAACAUGGCAAGACAGGAAAGUUUGGGUUCUCGUGACAUCGUACCCCCUGCAAAUAUAAUUCCGGCCUCACAGACCACGUGGGUUUUAGUGAAGGGUCCCAGGGCCACAGGUUACUUACGUCCAGGAGUGCCAUUUCUGGGUGAUCCUCUCCAAACACCAGCAGCAUGAGGUAGCGUGCGCGAUACAGCAGGUUCAGUGCUGUGGACAGCUGGCUGUUUGCAAAGCAGUACAAAGCAAGGUGCAUCUGCGAAGGGAAGAGAGACAAUUUCGAUAGCAUCCCAGGUUCCUUUCCCCGUCCAACAACAGACAGAAUGUAGCCAUCAGCUUUUUUAAAAAAAAUAAAUUAAACUACUGACAGUACUACCACACUGUAUUCAAUUCUGUGCUUUAUGGAUAAAAGAGCAAACUAAAAUAGUUUAUUUGUUGAUUACUUAAAAGAGGGAUAGAUUGUCUUUCUGAAAGAACUUAUGAACACAAUUCAAAAUGAACAGGGCGGAAUUACUACAUGCAAAAAGGUAUAGCUACGUUCAGUAUUCAUUUAUUUAAAAUUUUUGUAGACUGUGCCAUUACCAAAGUCUUAAGACGGUUUAACAAUAAAAUGUAAGAAAAGAAAAACAUUAAUUAAAACACAGUGUCCUAAAAUUUAGCAAUAAUAAAAAUCCCACUUAAAACA